rnacentral:lncRNA from 1 species
GCAUAUAGGGUAGGGGCAAUAUGAUAGGUUUUAAGUUAUCUUAUUGCCUUUAUCAUCUUGGCCUUUCUUAGGGAACUUUAGUAGAGAAUAACAACUUGAGCCUUAUUUUAAAAUUCCUAUUAUAGCUAUAGGAUUGUGUUAGGAUCACUUAUAUACCCGUUAUGACCUUAGGGUGACCCUAGUAAUCCUUAAUUAAGGAUUUGGGAUAGUACAUCUCUA